rfam:Capsicum annuum cultivar Zunla-1 chromosome 5, whole genome shotgun sequence
UUACUUACCUGGACGGUGUCAAUGGGACGAUCAAGAAGGCUCAUGGCCUAGGUUGGUGACCUCCAUUGCAGUUUGGAGGGGUGCCUGCCUAAGGUCAAUCCAAGUGGUCGAGCCUACGUCAUAAUUUGUGGCAGUGGGGGACUGCGUUCUCGCAGGCCCUAC